rnacentral:rRNA from 1 species
UACGUAUGUUCCAAGCGUUAUCCGGAUUUAUUGGGCGUAAAGCGAGCGCAGACGGUUAUUUAAGUCUGAAGUGAAAGCCCUCAGCUCAACUGAGGAAUGGCUUUGGAAACUGGAUGACUUGAGUGCAGUAGAGGAAAGUGGAACUCCAUGUGUAGCGGUGAAAUGCGUAGAUAUAUGGAAGAACACCAGUGGCGAAGGCGGCUUUCUGGACUGUAACUGACGUUGAGGCUCGAAAGUGUGGGUAGCAAAC